rnacentral:rRNA from 2 species
GCUAAGUGUUGGAGGGUUUCCGCCCUUCAGUGCUGCAGCUAACGCAUUAAGCACUCCGCCUGGGGAGUACGACCGCAAGGUUGAAACUCAAAGGAAUUGACGGGGGCCCGCACAAGCGGUGGAGCAUGUGGUUUAAUUCGAAGCUACGCGAAGAACCUUACCAGGUCUUGACAUCUUCUGCCAAUCUUAGAGAUAAGACGUUCCCUUCGGGGACAGAAUGACAGGUGGUGCAUGGUUGUCGUCAGCUCGUGUCGUGAGAUGUUGGGUUAAGUCCCGCAACGAGCGCAACCCUUAUUAUCAGUUGCCAGCAUUCAGUUGGGCACUCUGGUGAGACUGCCGGUGACAAACCGGAGGAAGGUGGGGAUGACGUCAAAUCAUCAUGCCCCUUAUGACCUGGGCUACACACGUGCUACAAUGGACGGUACAACGAGUUGCGAAGUCGUGAGGCUAAGCUAAUCUCUUAAAGCCGUUCUCAGUUCGGAUUGUAGGCUGCAACUCGCCUACAUGAAGUUGGAAUCGCUAGUAAUCGCGGAUCAGCAUGCCGCGGUGAAUACGUUCCCGGGCCUUGUACACACCGCCCGUCACACCAUGAGAGUUUGUAACACCCAAAGCCGGUGAGAUAACCU